AGUGCAGCGCAGAAGACAGAGGGUGACUGGGAAGACGCGCGAGCGGGGCCGGCCGGCCGGCGGGGGGGGGGGGGGGGGGGGGGGAGGCGGGGGAGGCGGCUGAGUGGGCCUCUGGAGUGUGUGUGUCUGUGUCAGUGCGCGCGCGUGUGUGUGUGUGUGUGUAUGUGUGUGUCUGGCGCCUGGCCAGGGUGAUUUCCCAUAAACCACAUGCCCCCACAGUCCUCUCAAAAGGCUGUGCCGAGAGCUGGCCAGUGAGGCUCGGCCCGGGGAAAGUGAAAGUUUGCCUGGGUCCUCUCGGCGCCAGAGCCGCUCUCCGCAUCCCGGGACAGCGGCGCGGCCCUCGGCCGGGGCGCCCACUCCGCAGCGGCCAGCGAGCGAGCGAGUAAGCGAGGGCGGCCGACGCGCCCGGCCGGGACCCAGCUGCCCGUAUGACCGCGCCGGGCGCCGCCGGGCGCUGCCCUCCCACGACAUGGCUGGGCUCCCUGCUGUUGUUGGUCUGUCUCCUGGCGAGCAGGAGUAUCACCGAGGAGGUGUCGGAGUACUGUAGCCACAUGAUUGGGAGUGGACACCUGCAGUCUCUGCAGCGGCUGAUUGACAGUCAGAUGGAGACCUCGUGCCAAAUUACCUUUGAGUUUGUAGACCAGGAACAGUUGAAAGAUCCGGUGUGCUACCUUAAGAAGGCAUUUCUCCUGGUACAAGACAUAAUGGAGGACACCAUGCGCUUCAGAGACAACACCCCCAAUGCCAUCGCCAUUGUGCAGCUGCAGGAACUCUCUUUGAGGCUGAAGAGCUGCUUCACCAAGGAUUAUGAAGAGCAUGACAAGGCCUGCGUCCGAACUUUCUAUGAGACACCUCUCCAGUUGCUGGAGAAGGUCAAGAAUGUCUUUAAUGAAACAAAGAAUCUUCUUGACAAGGACUGGAAUAUUUUCAGCAAGAACUGCAACAACAGCUUUGCUGAAUGCUCCGGCCAAGAUGUGGUGACCAAGCCUGAUUGCAACUGCCUGUACCCCAAAGCCAUCCCUAGCAGUGACCCGGCCUCUGUCUCCCCUCAUCAACCCCUCGCCCCCUCCAUGGCCCCUAUGGCUGGCUUGACCUGGGAUGACUCUGAGGGAACUGAGAGCAGCUCCCUCUUGCCUGGUGAGCAGCCCCUGCGCACAGUGGAUCCAGGCAGUGCCAAGCAGCGACCACCCAGGAGCACCUGCCAGAGCCUUGAGCCGCCAGAGACCCCGGUUGUCAAGGACAGCACCAUCGGUGGCUCACCACAGCCUCGCCCCUCUGUCGGGGCCUUCAACACCGGGAUGGAGGAUAUUCUUGAUUCGGCAAUGGGCACUAACUGGGCCCCAGAAGAAGCCUCUGGAGAGGCCAGUGAGAUUCCCGUGUCCCAAGGGACAGAGCUUUACCCCUCCAGGCCAGGAGGGGGCAGCAUGCAGACAGAGCCCGCCAAACCCAGCAACUUCCUCUCAGCAUCUUCUCCACUCCCUGCAUCAGCAAAGGGCCAACAGCUAGCAGAUGUAACCGGUACCGCUUUGCCCAGGGUGGGCCCCAUGAGGCCCACUGGCCAGGACUGGAAUCACACCCCCCAGAAGACAGACCAUCCAUCUGCCCUGCUGAGAGACCCCCCGGAGCCAGGCUCUCCCAGGACCUCACCACCACGCCCCCAAGGCCUCAGCAACCCCUCCACCCUCUCUGCUCAGCCACAGCUUUCCAGAAGCCACUCCUCGGGCAGCGUGCUGCCCCUUGGGGAGCUGGAGGGCAGGAGGAGCACCAGGGAUCGGAGGAGCCCCGCAGAGCCGGAAGGAGGACCAGCAAGUGAAGGGGCAGCUGGGCCCCUGGCCCGUUUUAACUCCGUUCCUUUGACUGACACAGGCCAUGAGAGGCAGCGCGAGGGAUCCUCCAGCCCGCAGCUCCAGGAGUCUGUCUUCCACCUGCUGGUGCCCAGUGUCAUCCUGGUCUUGCUGGCCGUCGGAGGCCUCUUGUUCUACAGGCGGAGGCGGCGGAGCCGUCAAGAGCCUCAGAGAGCGGAUUCUCCCUUGGAGCAGCCAGAAGGCAGCCCCCUGACUCAGGAUGAGGACAGACAGGUGGAACUGCCAGUGUAGAGGGAAUUCUAAGACCCCUCACCAUCCUGGACACACUCGUUUGUCAAUGUCCCUCUGAAAAUGUGGCGCCCAGCCCCGGACACAGUACUCCAGAUGUCUGACCAGCUCAGAGAGAGUACAGUGGGACUGUUACCUUCCUUGAUAUGGACAGUAUUCUUCUAUUUGUGCAGAUUAAGAUUGCAUUAGUUUUUUUCUUAACAACUGCAUCAUACUGUUGUCAUAUGUUGAGCUUGUGGUCUAUUAAAACCCCUAGUUCCGUUUCCCAUAAAACUCUGUCAAGCCAGACCAUCUCUACCCUGUACUUGGACAACUUAACUUUUUUAACCAAAGUGCAGUUUAUAUUCACCUUUGCUAAAGCCACCUUGUUGGUUUCUGCCAAUCACCUGAACCUAUUGAAGUUGUUUGAAAUCCUAAUUCUGUCGUCUCUGUAGCCCUCCCUUUUGUGGCUCCUGCACAUUGAUGAGUGCCUGUUGUUGUCCUUGCCCAUGUUGUUGAUGUAGCUGUGACCCUAUUGUUCCUCACCUCUGGCCCCCCCAACCCCAGCUGGCGCACGUCUUCCCCCUCCCACCCAAGCCCACAGCCAGCCCAUCAGGAAGCCUUCCUGGCUUCUCUACAACCUUCUGACUGCUUCUUUCAGUCAUGCCCCUCCUGCUCUUUUGUAUUUGGCUAAUAGUAUAUCAAUUUGCACUUAUUUGGAUGUUGUUUUCAUAUUUUUUAAAAUCUUAUUUUAUAUGUAUGUGUACAUUCCACAUCCCUAAGAUUGUAAGCCCCUUGAGGGCAGGAACUGUCUUCCACUUUUUUUGUGUUUCUUUUUCCAUCCUGGGUUCUACUACAGAGAGGGCCUCUCCACAUUUGCCAAACAUGAAAUAAAUAUUGACUGACUGGCUUCAGGGCUGACUCAUGGACUGACCCUGGCCAGCUGUCUCUAACUGACCAGCCUCUAGCUGACCAGUUAACCAGCUAACUGACUGACUCUGACUGACUGGCUGACCAGCUGGCUGGGUGAAUGACUAACCAACCAACUAUCUUGGUAACUGGCCAGCUGUUGCUUGGGGAGCCCAUUGAGCAACUGACUAGCUGAUUUCCUGACUAAUUGACUGGUUGGCUGACUAGCUGGGGUGGCCGAGUCAAGUUUCUAGUCACACUCUUUACCAAGUGCAAGCCAGCGCUGCAGGGCUCUCCCAUGUGUGGAGUGACAGGUCUGGGCCCCUUCUAGAGAGAUAGGGAAUUUGGCAAAUGCUCAAAACCAGGGAACCUAUUUAGACAAGAGCCAGCAGUAACAACAUAUCUAGAAUCCUGGGGUCUACCUUGUCAGUGGGGUGGGCUAAGAUGGGUGAGUGGGUCAACUGGGGCACUGGCGAGACUGUGAAAUGACCCAGGCCUCCUCAGAACUGGUGGCUGGUGGCUCAGUGCCACGACACCCUUCCCACUGGUCGCCUGUCCCCCAAGCCCCUUGCCGUGGUCUUGGCCCUCUGUCCCAUCCCUCUACAUGCCCACCCUCCUUUCCCCACUUGCUUAUUCUCAGGCCCGUCCCAAGCUUUCAGUUUCCUCCCUUCAAGAUUUCACUUGGAGAGGGAACCCGGGGCAAGGGGCUACAUCCAGAUCCCACUUGGCCCAGCAGGUCCAACCCUAAGGUGGUCUCCAGGCCAGGCACCAGUGGCCUUGGAGAGAUUGAGUGCCAGCCCCUAGACUGACUGCUGCUCUGAUGGAAGAAGUGAGAGAGGGAAACAUAGAGGCAGAGACUGAGAUAGGGACUCAGAGCCACAGAAAAUGCAGACACCAGCACCUCAGCCCUAAGCAGCUAGGAGAUGGGGCAGCAGGCUAGAACUUGCCCACUGGGUCCUUCUCCCCUCCUGGGCCUUAGCUGGGCCUGUGGCCUGGCUGUACCCAUCAUGGCUCAUGUCCAGUUUAUGGUUCCCCUUCUUUCCCUCUAGAGCAUGGGAAUGGGCAAGGAGCCAGAGGCUGUGGUUCCAUCUUCCCUCCUUACCCAGUAGGGCCUAUGGAUGUUAGGGAGGGAGGCUUCACACAAGGUCCAAAGUCAAACUGUUGGAUGGGGUCCAGGGGAUUUCUGCUCUGGGAACAAAGCGUCCUGAGGAUGCUGGGCAAGGGGACAAGGAUGGGGGUGGAGCAGGAGAGGGCAAGGCCUUGACUCCCAUGGAUGAUGCAGGAGGCAAGGCCCUCGGCCCAUCCAGGAGGGGCUGGGUUGCUUAGGGGUCAGCAUGCCAAAUGGCAGUGUGGGAAUUUCCUUGUCCCGGCACUACCUCUAGACUUUUCCUCUCUGGCCCAAGUUCUUCCUCUUCAGCUAGCUCUGCCCGACUGUCUUGAACAUCAUAUGUGAUGCCCUCUGAUGAAUGCUGUGGAGAUGGAAAUGAAAGAUUCUUCUUUGCUAGUGUUAGCAGAAAUCACCUUUUGUUCACUGGGCCAAGACCAAUGAGAUGACCUUGCCUGAGGAGGGGUCCAAAGACAUUCAAGUGCCCGCUUCGCUCCUCAUCAGAGCCCUCUGCUUGAGGAGUAACCCCUCUUCCCAGCCUUGACCAGACCUCUCCUGGGCCCUGUUAUCUUCCACUGAGGCCCUGAUUCCCCAGGAGGAGAUAGGAGCUGGACGCACAGGACAGUCUCUCCGUGGGAGGAGACAUUAUGGGGCGUCCACCACCACCCCUCCCCGGCCAUCCUCCUGGAAUGUGGUCUGCCCUCCACCAGAGGACCGGACCAGAGCAGCCAGGCUAGGGCCCCUCUGUCUCAACCCGCAGACCAUUGACUGAGAGAGGCCAGAGGAUGCUCCCCAUGCUGCCACUAUUUAUUGUGAGCCCUGGAGGCUCCCAUGUGCUUGAGGAAGGCCGGCGAGCCCGGCUCAGGACCCUCUUUCCUCAGGGGCUGCACCCUCCUCUCCCUCCCCUCCAUGCCAGCACCCAGGCCAGGGACCCAUCAGCCUGUGGUUUGUGGGAAAGUAGGGUGGACAUUGAGAAGUGAAAGAACCCUGCACCCAGAGGGCCCGCCUGGUGCCAAGGGAUCCCAGCCUGGACAGGCAUGGACCUGUCUCCAGAGAGAGGAGCCUGAAGUUCACAGGGCGGGACGGCGUCGGCUUGAUUUCCCGUAAAGGUGUCAGCCUGAGAGACGGGAAGAGGAGGCCUCUGGACCUGCUGGUCUGCACUGACAGCCUGAAGGGUCUACACCCUCAGCUCACCCAAGUGCCCUGUGCUGGUUGCCAGGCACAGAGGGGAGGCCAGCCCUGCCCUCAGGACCGGCCCGACCUGCCAGUGAGUGAUGCCAAGAGGGGGAUCAAGCACUGGCCUCUGCCUCUCCUCCUUCCAGCACCUGCCAGAGUUUUUCCGGGAGGCCAAGCAGAGGCUCCCCUCAUGAAGGAAGCCAUUGCACUGUGAACACUGUACCAGCCUGCUGAACAGCCUGCCCCCGUCCAUCCAUGAGCCAGCAUCCAUCCGUCCUCCACUCUCCAGCCUCUCCCCAGCCUCCUGCACUGAGCUGGCCUCACCAGUCGACUGAGGGAGCCCCUCAGCCCUGACCUUCUCCUGACCUGGCCUUUGACUCCCCGGGGUGGAGCGGGGUGGGAGAACCUCCUGGGCUGCCAGCCAGAGCCGGUCUUUAGGCUGUGUUGUUCGCCCAGGUUUCUGCAUCUUGCACUUUGACAUUCCCAAGAGGGAAGGAACUAGUGGGAGAGAGCCAGGGAGGGGAGGGCACAGACAGAGAGGCUGCAGGGCGAGCUCUGACUGAAGAUGGGCCUUUGAAAUAUAGGUAUGCCCCUGAGGUUGGGGGAGGGUCUGCACUCCCAAACCCCAGCCCAGUGUCCUUUCCCUGCUGCUGACAGGAACCUGGAGCUGAGCAGGUUAUCACUGUCAGGAGCCGUGGGCUGGGCUGCAUCUCAGCCCCACCUGCAUGGCACCCAGCUCCCAUCCACUUCUCACCCUUCUUUCCUCCUGACCUUGGUUGGCAGUGAUAACCUCCAUCACUCACCCACCCGUCUACCAUCACCUCUAACCAGGCAAGCCAGGGUGGAAGAGCAAUCAGGAGAGCCAGGCCUCAGCUUCCAAUGCUUGGAGGGCCUCCACUUCGUGGCCAGCCCGUGGUGGUGGCUCUGAGGCCUAGGUAACAGGCGACAGGGCUGCCAGUUGCCCCUGGGUUCCUUUGUGCUGCUGUGUGCCUCCUCUCCUGCUGCCCUGGGUCCUCCACUGAGAGACCCCACCCUGCCUGGCCACUGGGCUCGUGACUUUCUCUUCCUGCCCAGGAAAGUGAGGGUCUGCUGGCCCCACCUCCCCUGUCCUGAUGCUGACAGCUAAGGGAAGGGCAGUGAACUUGCAUAUGGGGCUUAGCCUUCUAGUCACAGCCUCUAUAUUUGAUGCUAGAAAACACAUAUUUUAAAAUGGAAGAAAAAAAAACAAAAAAAAAGGCAUUCCCCCUUCAUCCCCCUACCUUAAACAUAUAAUAUUUUAAAGGUCAAAAAAGCAAUCCAACCCACUGCAGAAGCUCUUUGUGAGCACUUGGUGGCAUCAGAGCAGGAGGAGCCCCAGAGCCGCCUCUGGUGUCCCCCCAGGCUACCUGCUCAGGAACCCCUUCUGUUCUCUGAGAAGUCGAGAGAGGACAUUGGCUCACGCACUGUGAGAUUUUGUUUUUAUACUUGGAAGUGGUGAAUUAUUUUAUAUAAAGUCAUUUAAAUAUCUAUUUAAAAGAUAGGAAGCUGCUUAUAUAUUUAAUAAUAAAAGAAGUGCACAAGCUGC